rnacentral:rRNA from 1 species
UGGGGAAUAUUGCACAAUGGGGGGAACCCUGAUGCAGCGACGCCGCGUGAGUGAAGAAGUAUUUCGGUAUGUAAAGCUCUGUCAGCAGGGAAGAAGAAAGACGGUACCUGACCAAGAAGCCCCGGCUAACUACGUGCCAGCAGCCGCGGUAAUACGUAGGGGGCAAGCGUUAUCCGGAUUUACUGGGUGUAAAGGGAGCGUAGACGGCAGGGCAAGUCUGGAGUGAAAGGCAGGGGCCCAACCCCUGGACUGCUCUGGAAACUGUCCGGCUGGAGUGCAGGAGAGGUAAGUGGAAUUCCUAGU